ACUCAAAUGAAUUGACGGGGGCCCGCACAAGCGGUGGAGCAUGUGGUUCAAUUCGACGCAACGCGAAGAACCUUACCCAGGCUUGACAUGCACCGGACGGGUGUGGAAACACAUCUUUCCUUCGGGACUGGUGCACAGGUGCUGCAUGGCUGUCGUCAGCUCGUGUCGUGAGAUGUUGGGUUAAGUCCCGCAACGAGCGCAACCCUCGCCCUUAGUUGCUAACGAAUAAUGUCGAGCACUCUAAGGGGACUGCCGGCGGCAAGCCGGAGGAAGGUGGGGAUGACGUCAAGUCCUCAUGGCCCUUACGCCUGGGGCUACACACGUGCUACAAUGGUCGGUACAAAGGGCUGCGAUACCGCAAGGUGGAGCCAAUCCCAAAAAACCGACCUCAGUUCGGAUUGCAGUCUGCAACUCGACUGCAUGAAGCCGGAAUCGCUAGUAAUCGCUGAUCAGCAGGCAGCGGUGAAUACGUUCCCGGGCCUUGUACACACCGCCCGU
rnacentral:rRNA from 1 species